ensembl:lncRNA
GAAGACGGUUUGUUUUCACACUUAAGGAAGACAUGAAAUAGAGUGUCCUUAACUUAAUCACCACCUUGUUUUACUACAUUUGCAUAUAUUUACAUAUUAAUUGGACCACCGAUUAAAAUUGGUUUUGUAAUUUUAAUUAAGUGUCCACAAAGGUAUACGAUUAGCACUGUUUAAAAUACAGCCUGACAUAACUAGACGCAAAAAAUCCUCUUUGCUGCAGAUUUCCUUCCUUCUUCUUCCCUCCUCCCAUCAUCUCUCUCCCCCCUUUCUCCUUUCAGAGAGGAGGGGAUUACUUACAGGGAAUGCCUGUUUCAUGAUAGCCAAUUUUAAAUCUGCAGUAGAUUAGGCUGCCAUGAAGACGGAGGGGGCAGUCGACAAAUCACCGAGGGUAUUUAAAGAUUGACAUAUUGUGAUCCAGUGUUUUAGAGGCCGUAUUUGGGGAAGGGACUUGAAUCGUCUCCUCAGUUACACAAGCUGCAAUAAUCAUCCGACACGUGGAAGGUGGUGACGGCCCUCGGGGGGCCCACAGCUGGAAAGGGCCAACACAGAUCCCAGGGGGGGGGCCGUUCCUGCAGGGAGGUGGAGAUGAUCGCUUUAUUUGUUUUCGCUCAGGGUUCCCCACUCCGCCUGGUGAUGGUAGCAUGCAGCCUCCUGUCACUCGUUAAAGGUCUGAUGGGCAGCGGGGCGCCGCAGUGACAGUAGAGGUGUUUCAUAGGUACGUCACAACAUGCCACACACAUGUUAUUCUAAUCACACUAAUUCAAAUAACAAUGAUUUGUCUUCAAGAGUGUUUGUUGACUUGCCUGCAGGAGAGUGUUAGCACUGAUGCUACUCUGCCUUUCCCUCCGGUGUGAAGCCGGCCACGUACCGGUGCCGUGUGGAGGGUUUUAGGGGAGGGCCGCGCUUGAAUGCAUGUGUCGUUCUCCUCCACGUGCAUUCAAGCCUUCAGCUGGGAAGGAUUUGAGAAGUUUUCUCUCCCACACUCUUAAUGAGCGCAGCUUUUGCCAAAUGGCCUGACAUGUAACAGAGGGAGAGUCGCGCACCAUUUUUCUGAUGCAAUUACACCAGAGUCGGGGUAUCAUACUGGGGACUUUUCAGAAACGUAAUAUUACCUCAUUUCGUCUUUGGUGUGGUCUGGAAGGUUCUUGAGAGACAUUUGGAAGCAUUUUACUCAUAAAAUACUUAACCAUUUAAGUGAUAGGAUACUGUUUCCUGGGUUCUGUGCCUGCUGCCAACCACACAGAAAACUGAGGGGAACAAGCACAGUAGGUUGGUACAUGUUCUCCUGUCAUCUAUUAUGCCGCUCGGUGGCCCCCCUCCCCCUUCCGAGAAUCCCCAAAGCUUUGAAAUGUAAGGAAAACGGGAUCUCCGUGUUGCCAAAGAUCACGUUUCUCUCUGCAUGUUUCAGGACUGGUUUCAGCAGAGAAACGGGGGCCUCCUCUUCCCUCGGUGCAAUAUGUCUGGCAUGGAGCAGGUCCUCUCAUUACCAGCGCUCAUACCCACCUCUGUGAUGACGAGGCUUUCUGUCAUUCAGUCCAAUCCUCAAAGCUGUCUUGGGGGAGCCCUGCGAGUUAUGGCAUUAGUUGUGCUUUCUUCCCCAAUCCUCCCUCCGCCCUCCUCUUCUCUGCGCCUUAAAUUGCCGCUUCUUGGGUUACUAAGCUGCCCUAAUAGGUACAACCUGCGCCCACUCCCUGUCCUCAGAUGGGACGUACCUCACCCGAUUGCUGCUUUGCGGGCAGAGGAUAAAGAGCUAUCCCACGAUGCACCCUGUCACACGCGAUGGCGGGCUCGCUCGGUGAUUUCGCCUGGCUCCUGAACGCCGUCCUCAGCGCCAGAGCUUUAAAUGUGUUUCCUAUUUCUUGCUGCGCUGUUGACAUCAGAAUGUUUCCAACCUCAGUGUUCAGCGUGUGCACGUAACCCCCCCCCCACAACUUCCAAAACACACAGGCACGGGACACUUACAUAAUUACUCCGGCGUACGCGCACGCAGAACACACAGAGCUGCAAACGCCCUUUCAGUCGCAGUCAAAUAAAGCCACAUGCACGCAGGCGGGGUGAUCGGGACUUGUUAUUGAAACGGAAACGUGCCAUGCUGGCAGGCAGCAGACACCGGGGGGGGGUUUAUAGGACCCCGAUCAGCAUGCCAGCGCUCAUUGUGCAUGCCGACACGUCCCGGCAGCCGCUGAUUGCCAGGUGAUUAGUUUGGUUUCGUAAAAGCACAUCGUUCUUCUUAAGCUGCAAGGAAGACGGAUUCUGUAGCAGGGAGUCACGUGACGCGCGCCUCGUUAGCAGUAGCGCUAACAGUGCUAGCUCUGCUCCCAACCUCAUCCUGCAGAUCGGAGAAUUUAGCACAGAACAUUGGAGAAUAAUCCUUUGCGAUGUUCCGUUACGGCACUCUUCAGAAGAAGCUGGUGGCGCUGAGACGAGACGCCACCUACUCGUCCCCCUCGGGCCCCGCGGCGUUCGCACAAAUCACAGACGUGCGCUGCGCGCUGUCGGGCCACACAGGUGGCACGGGUGAUGAAUAGCCCCCCCCCCCCCACCCCCGCACCCCCCCCCGAUGCCUGAGCAUUAUCAUAAAUAAAAAGGAGUACAAACACCAGCCUUUGCGCCCUAAUGGAAUUUGUCAACAUGAAAGAAGUGUUAUUGAGCUUCGCGGCUCCCUCUCUUUUCUUUGCUGAUGCCUUGCCAAAUACUUAUCCCCUCUCUGGUGAGCGUUUAGCGUUAACUCGCGGCGGCUCCUGGGAAUUGCAUGGGCGUAAUGAAAUUACCUCGGCACAAACAAAUGGGGUCAAACUCUCAAGGAGACGAGCAUUAGGGCCGCAUUCUGCUAAUUACGUGGUGCGUUCUUUCCGCCGCCUCGCGGAAACUGCGCUGGACGGCCGGCGUCUGCAGGACGCCACCGUGUCCAAUCCUGACUAAAUACGCCACCAGGAGAAGGGUCGAGGAAAUUAAACUAAGCAAAAUGGGAUUACAGUAAACAACGCCUAAUAUUUUGUUGAUUUGCGGCUGAUAAUUAAGCAAAUUUCAUGCCGAUUUGCGGAUGGAGAGACGAGACGCGAGCGGCGCGAGCUCAAUGCUGGAUGGUCCUUUGUAACGCCGCCGCUCGCCUCCUCUUUGUACCUGUGUGGAGAGGAGAGUCAAUAUGGCCCCCAGCAGCGGUGCAGCCCUUCACCGUCACGCCAUUUCUUUAGCAUAACAAUGCUAUCAGAUCUGUUUUCUCCCAUUCGUCUCACCUGAGUUCUCGCUGCCAGCAGAGCAAGAUAUACGAUUACCUACAUGGCCGCGACGGAGCGUCUUGUAAUUAUUGAGCAUGCCUCUGUGGUAAUUACGUGAGUUUACGGAGUUACAGAAGCUGGAAGGGGGGGGGGGCGAGCGAGGAGCCGCCCCCCCCCCCCCACGAGCGGAGACACAAAUAUUCUUCCGGAGGCUGAAAAGCUGAGAGACUUUGCUUGGCAGCGGUAUUAUCACAUACACUCAUCUGCCAGAGACUGUUGACAGAAAAUAUGCCCCAUCAGCAGAAAUAACCACUCUUUAUUUUUUCACCCCCCACCCACCCACCCACCCCCGCUCCUCCUUUUGUCGCCGCCGCGCGGCCCCGACAGUCUGACGGGAGACAAAGCUCCCCCGCGAGCGACGUCAAUAAAUCUGAAAAGCACCUUUUCCCCGACAGCAGCUGCUGUGUGCGUUUCUCUGGGCGCCGUUGGCCUCCUACUCCGGCGCUGAGACGCACCGACGGAGCAAAUGAGCAAAUCACCGCUGGAUUACGCCUGCUAGCGCGCUCACAAAUACGCCAUUUAUUCUGAGGUAAAUUUGAGAUUGAAGGAGGAAGCGCUGCUGCCUGGUAUAAUCCCUCCGCAUGGAAGAGGCCUGUAAGCCUGCUGUGUGUGUGUGUGUGUGUGUGUGUGUGUUAAACAUACAAAGGGAAAAGACUAAACAAAACACCACACUACUUUGUGAAUGUCGCGGUGUGCAGUUGUUUUAGGUUUUUAUGUCAAAGCAUUAAUUACGGUUUCCGAUAUUCUCUAGUUUAAUGUUUUAUUGUUUUCCUGGCGUGUCCGAGCGGAGGAUUGCUGCCUUGCACGAGGAACCUCCAGCAGGUGGUGGAGGAGAUGGAGCCUCCCGGCUCAGAGGCGGAGUUCAUCCUCCAGGUUUCGGGCCCCUCGGCCCCUCGUUCGGCGCUGCAGCAUGUGGGACGGGAGUGGGGCAGCGCUGCUUCCUGUUAGAAACAUCCCAGCGAUUCAAACUGGCAACC